UGCCCAGACUCCUACGGGAGGCAGCAGUGGGGAAUAUUGGGCAAUGGGCGCAAGCCUGACCCAGCAACGCCGCGUGAAGGAAGAAGGCUUUCGGGUUGUAAACUUCUUUUGACAGGGAAGAGCAGAAGACGGUACCUGUCGAAUAAGCCACGGCUAACUACGUGCCAGCAGCCGCGGUAAUACGUAGGUGGCAAGCGUUGUCCGGAUUUACUGGGUGUAAAGGGCGUGUAGCCGGGCUGACAAGUCAGAUGUGAAAUCCGGGGGCUCAACCCCCGAACUGCAUUUGAAACUGUUGGUCUUGAGUAUCGGAGAGGUCAUCGGAAUUCCUUGUGUAGCGGUGAAAUGCGUAGAUAUAAGGAAGAACACCAGUGGCGAAGGCGGAUGACUGGACGGCAACUGACGGUGAGGCGCGAAAGCGUGGGGAGCAAACAGGAUUAGAUACCCCGGUAU
rnacentral:rRNA from 1 species